AUGCUGCACCGGAAAAAUUUCUUCAUUGAGGAUUACACCUGUGUUAUGUGUAAUCAACACUCCCUGGAAACAAGGGAUCAUCUCUUCUUCCAAUGCCCAUAUGCCCAGCUCUGUUGGCAAUAUGUGUGCCCCUCAUGGCAGCCCCAGAAUACAAAUAUUCAGGAAGAAGUGGCGCAUCUCAAGCAUCUUAUCAAUUUGCCUUUUGCUCUGGAUAUCAUCAUUCUGGUCUCCUGGGCAAUAUGGACAACGCGGAAUGAUUUCAUUUUUAAAAAGAUUCCCCCAAAUCUAUAUACUUCCAGGCGCAAAUACAAAGAAGAGAUGAAAUGGCUCACUCAUAGAGCACGAAGACAGGAUUAUUCUGGCAUGGCGGAUUGGGUUGCAAUGUUCAGAUAA
rnacentral:rRNA from 1 species